rnacentral:tRNA from 1 species
GGAGGUGUAGCUCCGUGGUAUAGCACAUGCUUAGUACGUAUGAGGUUCUGGGUUCAAUUUCCACCACUUAUA